rnacentral:tRNA from 1 species
AAGAUUUUAAGUUAAAUAAACUAAUAACCUUCAAAGUUAAAAAUAAAUAAUUUUUUUUUAAAUCUUA